rnacentral:sRNA from 2 species
GGGAUUCAAUCGCUUUCCUGUUGGCAGGGACGGGGGAACCAAGUUUCCGCGGCUUUUUCAAAGCCUUGGGGUUAAGUCGAUAGCGCCUCGUUCCGUUCGGGGUUGCUUUCGGCCGGGUAUCUCCAACCCGAACCCGACAGCUCACCCCGCAGGCAUGGGAGAGGCGAUCA